GUGUUUGGUCAUGUCCUAUAACGAGCGAAACCCUCGUUUUGUGUUGCUGAGACAUGCGCAUAAGGAGAAAGUCUUUGCAACCGAAGUGAGCCGAGGAGCCGAGUGACGUGCCAGCGCUACUAAUUGAGUGCCAGCACGUAGCUGUGCUGUCAGUAAGAAAGGAGCCGGCGCCUUUCGAAAGCCCUUUCUAGUGUGCGCUUUAGUUUGAUUGCUGCUAGCGCGCUUUACUAAUAACAUAGAAAGGGCUUUCUUUUCUCGCUUGUUUAGUAAAGCGCGCUAGCAGCAAUCAAACUAAAGCGCACACUAGAAAGGGCUUUCGAAAGGCGCCGGCUCCUUUCUUACUGACAGCACAGCUACGUGCUGGCACUCAAUUAGUAGCGCUGGCACGUCACUCGGCUCCUCGGCUCACUUCGGUUGCAAAGACUUUCUCCUUAUGCGCAUGUCUCAGCAACACAAAACGAGGGUUUCGCUCGUUAUAGGACUUGACCAAACAUCUCACGACACGAGCGAAACCCUCGUUUUGUGUUGCUGAGACAUGCGCAUAAGGAGAAAGUCUUUGCAACCGAAGUGAGCCGAGGAGCCGAGUGACGUGCCAGCGCUACUAAUUGAGUGCCAGCACGUAGCUGUGCUGUCAGUAAGAAAGGAGGCGGCGCCUUUCGAAAGCCCUUUCUAGUGUGCGCUUUAGUUUGAUUGCUGCUAGCGCGCUUUACUAAUAACAUAGAAAGGGCUUUCUUUUCUCGCUUGUUUAGUAAAGUCAAGUUUUUGGCCUUAUCUUGCAGGUGACGACGACGUCGAGUUGGCGGCGGAGAAAGACUCGGCAUUCAGGCGAGCCGCCCGGUGGUGUGGUACGUAGUGGGUUUAGUACGCCCCGCCAAAACAAAACGGCUCCGAAACAAACAAAAAGGUGCGUGCCGCACUCACGAGGGACUGCCAGUGAUAUACUGGAGGAAGGUGGGGAUGACGUCAAGUCCGCAUGGCCCUUAUGGGCUGGGCCACACACGUGCUACAAUGGCAAUUACAAUGGGAAGCAAGGCUGUAAGGCGGAGCGAAUCCGGAAAGAGUGCCUCAGUUCGGAUUGUUCUCUGCAACUCGGGAACAUGAAGUUGGAAUCGCUAGUAAUCGCGGAUCAGCAUGCCGCGGUGAAUAUGUACCCGGGCCCUGUACACACCGCCCGUCACACCCUGGGAAUUGGUUUCGCCCGAAGCAUCGGACCAAUGAUCACCCAUGACUUCUGUGUACCACUAGUGCCACAAAGGCUUUUGGUGGUCUUAUUGGCGCAUACCACGGUGGGGUCUUCGACUGGGGUGAAGUCGUAACAAGGUAGCCGUAGGGGAACCUGUGGCUGGAUUGAAUCCUUC
rnacentral:ncRNA from 1 species